UGAGCAAUCUGCCCUUCUCAUCGGAAUAAGCGUUGGAAACGACGUCUAAUGCCGAAUACGACCUCCUUUCGCAUGAUCGGAGGUGGAAAACUCCGGCGGAGAAGGAUGAGCUCGCGGCCUAUCAGCUAGUUGGUGUGGGUAAUGGCCCACCAAGGCGACGACGGGUAGCCGGCCUGAGAGGGUGACCGGCCACACUGGGACUGAGAUACGGCCCAGACCUCCGUACGGGAGGNAGCG
rnacentral:rRNA from 1 species